UAGCCAAGUGGAUUAAGGCAGUG
rnacentral:tRNA from 1 species